rnacentral:rRNA from 1 species
GACGGAGGGUGCUAGCGUUGUUCGGAAUUACUGGGCGUAAAGGGCGCGUAGGCGGCAUCGGCAGUCGGGUGUGAAAGCCCGGGGCUCAACCCCGGAACGGCACCCGAGACUCGGGGGCUCGAGACCGGGAGAGGAGGGUGGAAUACCCAGUGUAGAGGUGAAAUUCGUAGAUAUUGGGUGGAACACCGGUGGCGAAAGCGGCUCUCUGGCCCGGAUCUGACGCUGAGGCGCGAAAGCGUGGGGAGCAAACAGG